AGCGAGAAACUAACAAGAGUAUCAACAGAAUCUUCUAGAGUUUCCUUCUCAUCAUCAUGUUCAUCAUCUUCCCCAUUGUCUUCUGAUCUCAACAAAGAAACUCAACCUGAGAUUUCACCGUAUGACCACCGGGUCAUUUUUCAAGAAUCUCCAGCUAUGAGCCAAGGAAGCGGGUUGGGACUUGACCUUAGAGAUGUUGUUAGAGACUCUAUGUACAGAGAAGCUAGAGGGCUUUCUGAAGUAUCCAGACACAACAAGAGAAGAGAUGAUUCUCCAAGACCACCACCCUAUGGUUUGAAGCAAUCCACUCCUGUAGAUUUCAAUGAAUCCUGCAAAGCUCUAGCCAAACUCAACACUUCUCAGUAUUAUUACAAUGAGGUUGACUUGAAAGAUGCGUCUCGUUACUACGUUGAUUCUCACAAGAAGAAGUCUAAAUCCAAGAAGAAGGUGAAAGAGUCUCCUAAGCUUUCUUUGGACAGUAGAGACCACCUUGAUCUCAAUUCAGGUAAUAACAAUAAGCUUGUUGAGAGUUUCAGUAGAAGCUCUAGCGUGAACAAACGGCCUCCUAGUGUUGUUGCAAAGCUAAUGGGAUUGGAGACGUUACCUGGUUCUCCACUGAGAAGAGACAAACUCAACAGUGAUCCGUUCUCAAGGUCAUUGAGGGAGAAUGGCAUGAACCGGACUAUCCGGUUAUCUCCUAGCUCACCAAGGAAGGACCUUGCUUCUACUUCUUCUUCAUCUUCACCAAGAUGGAGAAGCUCUGAGUUUGUAAUGAAACCUUUAUCAAGUUUGAGGUUUCCCAUUGAACCAGCUCCAUGGAAGAAGCAACAGAAGCAAGCCUGCAGGCCUGUGAAAGCUCUGUUGAAAGAUCUAGAGCUUAAGCAUCCGGUUAAGGAUCUGAGAGCUAUUAAUGAGAUAGUAGAGGCAAUGCAAACGAAAAGCAUCAAGCAGCAAGAAUGCUCAAACUCAAGAGGCUUGGAAAGCCAUGUGAUGCCAUCAUCCACUAUGAGAGGAGGACCAAUUGUGAUAAUGAAACCUGCUAGACUUGUUGAGAGAUCUUGUGUUCCUUCAUCAUCUCUGAUUCCCAUUCACAGUCUUAAUAGAGAAGAAGAGUCUGUGAAUGUUAAAAGAAACUCAACUAGUAAAAAGGCAGCAAAAGAUAACAGAAACGUCACUACAAAGAAUGGAGGAGCUGCUAGUCCAAGAUUGAAUCAUAUGAAGAAGCAUGACAAUGAGAAGCGUUCUCGCCCACCACCUAUACCAUCUGAUUCAAGCAAAUCAAGAAGACAAACAGACAAAGAAUCUGUUACUUCUCCUGGUGGUAGGCGUAGUAGACAAGGUGGUAGAAAGAGUCAAACUGUAAUAGAGACAGCAAAAACAGUAGUCUCUAACUUAAUGCAGAACGCUAGUCCAAAGUCUAGUGGAGAUGGGUCAUCGGAACAUCCAAGUCCAGUGUCUGUUCUCAACGCAUCAAUCUACAGAGACAUCAAACCAUCUCAAGCUAGUGAAGGCACCAAGACUGAUGAAGAAGACGAGUGGAAUCCAGCUUACAGCUUCUCAAAGACAACAACCACCUUGUCUCCAGAGGUAAACAGAAAGAAGCUUCAGAACGUGGAGCAUUUGGUUCAGAAGCUGAAAAGAUUAAACUCUAGCCAUGACGAAGCAAGCCAAGACUACGUUGCAUCGCUAUGCGAGAACAGUGGUGCUGACACUGAUCACAGAUACAUAUCCGAGAUUCUGUUAGCCUCUGGUCUUCUCCUGAGAGACUUAGCCUCAGAGUCAACUACGUUUCAGCUCCACUCUUCAGGUCAUCCUAUUAACCCUGAGCUGUUUCUCGUUCUUGAGCAAACUAAAGGAAGCAGUGGUGGCGGCAAUGAGAAGAAGCUCAACCGCAAGGUUGUGUUCGACGCUGUUAAUGAGAUGCUUGUGAAGAAGUUAGCUAUUGUUGAUGUAGAGCCAUGGCUGAAGCGAGGUAAAGGGAUGAAGAGGAGGGUGUUUAGUGCGCAACAACUCUUGAAAGAGCUGUGUUCAGAGAUAGAAACAAUGCAAAAGGAAGCCAAGAGGAGAUCAGAUAACUUGUUCUUGUUGGGGGAACAAGAAGAGGACUUCUUGAAAUGUAUAUUGGAUGAAGAUAUGGAGAUGCGGUCUGAGAAAUGGACGGAGUUUGAUGAUGUAGUCCCGGGUAUAGUGCUUCACUUGGAGAGGCUUCUCUUCAAGGACCUGGUGAGUGAGGUCGUGCAUGGUGAGAUUGAUCGGCUGCAACCUACUCCAAGCAGACGAGUAGUUAUUACUGAUUCAUAAACUCGUUUUUUAUAUUCUCUGUACUCUAAAGCCGUAUAUAAAUAAUAAUACAAGUCAAAAGUCAUGUAACCAUUCUCUGCAUGUUUGUUCUCUUUUCUUUCUCUUCGAUGUUUGGUGAUAAAUAAAUAUUGUGCUCGUUAUAUCAGCUAGAUAUGAAUAAUGUGUUACUUAUCACUAUGUAGUGGUUCAAACUUGAACAUAGGCCUGCCUGCUUGUGCUGCAACAGCUUCACGAAGUUGACGUGCCUACGUACCAAGUGAACUAGCUUAGUUAGUUGCUCAUUGGAGACUUCUUUGUUAUCUUGUAGAUUUCCAGUGAAUAUAAAGUUUACUUCGAGAUCAGUUGCUCCAUCUCCACUCCAAUCAUGGCCAUAGUUUUGUAGAGACAGACCCUGAAAAGAACCAAAUCUCAUUGGUACAUUGUGUUUUCUUCAACAAGAGAUAAAAAAAAAGUUUGAUGAAGCUUUCGUAUUUGUUGCAAAGAUUGAGAAGGUUUUGAAGAAGAGCUAUGAGUACAGAGAGCAUUGUAUUUGCACAAUUACAUAAUUUUCUUCCUUUAAGUUUUUUAUAGUAACAAGUGUUUCAAAUAAACUACAUACAAACUUUGAACACUGAGUUACUGCCAAACACUAUAUACCUCGAAAGAUAACUAACUUUGGUCUCUCACACAAAGAUUUUCAUUCAGGCAGGGACUUUGAUGUUUCGAGAAGGAACUUUUCUUUGAAGUCGAGCAUUUUGUUCAGAGCUUCUAUAUAAGCCUCGAGCCCCGACACUACAACGUUCAUUCUCGCUCCGGUUCCACUACCAAAGACAUAGAGAUGAAAAAUCAAACUAGGCAAUAUGAUUAUCUUUGUCUAGUUCAAAUGAGAAGAUUUUUACCUGAAGUUUCUUUGAACUUCUUCACCAGUUAGAGCGUUUCCACGGACAAGAACUCGUGUGGUUGCAAUGGCAUCAGUGCCUUCUGUUGCUGUAUCCAUUGAGUACUCAAGCAAAGUCGUCGGUUCCUUAACAAUAAGAUCAACUGCCUUAAAAGCUGAUUUGACAGGGCAAGUUCCCCUAGAACAAGCGCAAUGCUCUUUGCCAUCAGCAUCAGCAAGUGUCACAGUUGCUGUUGAAAACUCAAUAGUCGCACAAAUUAUCUGCAUCCCACUUUCAUUAAAAAUGAGACAACUAACAUGACAACAGAGGUCAAUAAAAACUAUCUUAAUCACAGUUUCACCUGAAUGUCCAGGAGUUUCCACACGGCUUCUGGCUGGAACACCUCGUCAGAUACCAAAGCUAUUCUCUCAGUCUGAUUAUUAAACUAACCACUUAAAUUUGAACUGCCUUACUUUUUUAAACUCGAAACAGAACCAGACGUAAUCUCAUAUUGUGUGUUUCCAUAUCCGUGAUCUGUUUAAAAUCGUUACAUAUAAUCAAUAUGCAUUAAUAAUACCGAAAUCAGUUUAAUGAUAAUCAUUUUAGAUAUGAAAACAUUAUCAAUCCCAAAAUCUCUAUUGAAACUAAUUCACAAAGUUGUUUCCGUAUAUAGCUCUUGCAAUCUUAACAAUGGAAUAUAUUGCUACAAGUUCUUAAUUUCCAAUCCUGCCUCCCAAAAUAUUCCUUGAAAUCGACUAUAGCAAGCAUCAGUAGUUAGUUUCCAUAUUCUGCGCUUGAGAUUUUAACAAAUAACUAGGAUUUGAUGAUUAGCAUAUAUAUUUAUACGAUACGGUUUAGUUUAAAAAACAGAAAUAAGAAUAUCGUAUUUGCACAAUUACAUAAUUUUCUUCCUUUAAGUUUUUUAUAGUAACAAGUGUUUCAAAUAAACUACAUACAAACUUUGAACACUGAGUUACUGCCAAACACUAUAUACCUCGAAAGAUAACUAACUUUGGUCUCUCACACAAAGAUUUUCAUUCAGGCAGGGACUUUGAUGUUUCGAGAAGGAACUUUUCUUUGAAGUCGAGCAUUUUGUUCAGAGCUUCUAUAUAAGCCUCGAGCCCCGACACUACAACGUUCAUUCUCGCUCCGGUUCCACUACCAAAGACAUAGAGAUGAAAAAUCAAACUAGGCAAUAUGAUUAUCUUUGUCUAGUUCAAAUGAGAAGAUUUUUACCUGAAGUUUCUUUGAACUUCUUCACCAGUUAGAGCGUUUCCACGGACAAGAACUCGUGUGGUUGCAAUGGCAUCAGUGCCUUCUGUUGCUGUAUCCAUUGAGUACUCAAGCAAAGUCGUCGGUUCCUUAACAAUAAGAUCAACUGCCUUAAAAGCUGAUUUGACAGGGCAAGUUCCCCUAGAACUAGCGCCAUGCUCUUUGCCAUCAGCAUCAGCAAGUGUCACAGUUUCUGUUGAAAGCUCCAUAGUCGCACAAAUUAUCUGCAUCCCACUUUCAUUAAAAAUGAGACAACUAACAUGACAACAGAGCUCAAUAAAAACUAUCUUAAUCAUAGUUUCACCUGAAUGUCCAGGAGUUUCCACACGGCUUCUGGCUGGAACACCUCGUCAGAUACCAAAGCUAUUCUCUCCGCGUCCGUAACGCUCUGGAAGAAAACAUAAACGAUCGGUUGGAAUUGAAAACACUUAGACAUCUGAAUAAAUAAUGUGAUAUUAGGAGUAAAGUAAAAAUACGAGAAGACAUUAGUGUCUCCCUCCCACAAAGAUGGUAACAUUGAGUAUGUUUGGGUGAGAUUGAUGUGUACCUCAGUCAAACUGUCUUUCAACGCAAGAUGCCCAUCAGAUUUCCUCUGUUCCUGGCUUGUCAGUUGCUUCACAGUCCUAAGAUGGACAAAACACAAUGAAAACUUUGGGAUUUUGAAACCAUCCUUUUGUAUAACUACGAGAGCAAUUUACCAUUGUUUGAGAUUUUGAAGGUAGCUCAGCGCAUUAGCCACAAUUAAUGGGAAAAGUGAAAGCCCCAGUAACUGAAUCACCACACAAAAGAUCUUCUCUAGAAAAUCUUCACCUGGGUCUAGGUUUCCAGCUAGAGUGCUGAUUUGCUAGAUCUUCUCUAGAAAACAUUCAUCUGGGUCUAGUGAAUGUGGAGAACAUUCAGAUAUUUGUAGAGGAAUAUCUAAUUGAUCUGUCUCCAAUAAACGAGAUGCACAAAUUAUGGACUUCUUAACUCUUGGGUCAUCAAUUCACAUAAACAUAAGUAAAUUAAUCCAGAGGAUUUUUGACUGAGUAAGUCCUCACUUUUUGAUUGCUCCUUGAGAGCUUACACAAAGUAGUAAGUGUUCAAUGUUCAUGCACACAUAGGUUAAUUUAGUUCUUGAGAAAACUUUACUUUACUAGUUAAAUGUUAUCUUGAGAAAUGGACUUCACCUCACCAAAUUAACAAGUCUUAAUAUUCCUAUUGAUCUCUUGUGUUUCAAGUUUCAACAAAGACUAUACUCUCUUCAAAUAAGUUUAGCUUUAUAUUGGUUGUUAAGGCUCUAACUUGCAACCUUGAAAAUGAAGCAAUGGUACAAUGGUAAUGCGUUUUAACAUCCCUACCCCUAACUACUAAAGCAUGUUUUUCCGUUUACUAAUUUCAGUGUAGCAUGUGAAUCUGUUCUAACUUAAAACUAAUUUGAUUAUUGAAUAUAAUUUUUUCCUGUGCUUUUCAUCUAAUUCAGGGAGAGAAAAAACCAUAUUACAUUUCACCAAGUGUAUAGAUUGAAAAAAAGAUACAAUUAUAAAUAAUAAUUUAGAAAUGAGGAAGCAAAGAAGAUAAUAUUGUGGAUAUUUUUAAGUUGGUCACGAGAAGACAGGAGUCACAUGCAGAGGGAGACAUCUCAAAAACAGAGGGUUUAACAAACCACAUCCACUUGCCACAGCCCCCUCACUUCCUCUCACUAAUCUCACCUCAUUUCUAUUCUAUUACUCAUCAGAAACACACAUAGACAAUGUUCUGUUUUGUACUGUGAGCAGAAAGAGAGAGUAGAAAACAAAGGAACAUUUGGCAGAGUAUUUCUUUUGUUCCCUCUGCUUGGCCUUAUCUGUUUCUCCGUAUCUGAAAGUUUCUGUCUUUUUUUUCUUGGAUUUGUGAGGUUUAUCAGUGACAUUUCCCUGAAUUAUUUUCUUCUGAAGGAUUCCUUCCUACACAAGGACUCUCGUUUGUUCUGUAACAAACAGAGCUUUUUUUUUUUUUUGUUAGUGCGAGAUAACUCAGGAAAAGGGUUCGUCUCUUUUCUCGCCUCCGGUGAGAUUUGGGAAUCUAUCUAAAAUUUUGAACUUCUGCUACAAGUAGAAACAAAAAUGCUAAUUUUCUUCUUCUCUAUUUUUUUUUUUUUUUUUUUUUUUUUUCUUUUGAUUGGAGGUGACAUAGUGGAGAAGGUGGGUUUAAUAGAUGUGUUUUUUUUUUUGUCGUUGAUAGGGAGGGAAUAUAUAAGCAGCUGUAAUUAGCUGGAGGGCAAUGGCGUUCUCACAUUGAGCUUUGCCUAAGGCCAAUUUUAUUGGAAUCUAAAUUGAUAAAAAAUCUCAGCUUUUUUUGGAACUAUAUGAUAACAUGGAAAGUGGGUCAUUCUCGUUAUGGUGGUUGCUUGUUGAUGGAUAUUUAACGAAAGCUUGAAGUUAUUCCAAAACUAGUGUUUACUGGAAACAACAAGGAGAGUAUAUAAUACUGUAAAGUUUCAGAGCCAAGAAGAUAACAAAGAGUUAGUAUUCAUGGCUGCGAAGCUUUUGCAUACAUUGGCAGAUGAAAACUCGGAUCUACAGAAGAAAAUUGGAUGUAUGAAUGGGAUUUUCCAACUCUUUGAUCGUCACCAUGUUCUCACAAACCGGCGAAAAAGUCUUACUUUAGGUAAUCAUAUAACACUGUAACAUAUAAAUAAAUACUUGUGAUUUAGAUCGUGUCUCUUAGUGGUUGACUUGUACAUGGCCAUAUGUUCUUAGCUAUAUGAUGUCCUUUUCCAUGUUCUUAAGUUUUAUUUCUUCUUCAUGAACUAAAUGGUCUUGUCUGAUUCUUCUGUAAGGGCUAAAAGGUUUGUGUCAUAUCUUCAGACAAAGUUGCUCUAGUUUGUGAAAUGCAUGUUUGUUUUGUUAGAUUAGAUUUGUAUUUUGUGUGGCUUUUGCUUGGUAGAUUUUGACUUCUCUGAACCUUAGACUCUUCAAGUUUCUUAAAUCUGUAAUGCUUAUGGUUUAUAAGCAAAGAGAAUUGGAUAUGAUCCUAUAACUCUUUUGAUCUCAUGUGUUGUUGUUCUUGCAGGUAAUAUCAACUUUGAAAGAGACUCUGCAUUGCAGAUUCAAGACUCCAACAUUAUCAACAUCGGAAAUGAGACAAGCGAGAAACUAAGAAGGGUAUCAACCGAAUCUUCCAGAGUUUCCUUCUCAUCCUCAUGUUCAUCAUCUUCCCCACUGUCUUCUGAUCCCAACAAAGAAACUCAACCUGAGAUUUCACCGUAUGACCACCGGGUCAUUUUUCAAGAAUCUCCAGCGAUGAGCCAAGGAAGCGGGUUGGGACUUGACCUUAGAGAUGUUGUUAGAGACUCCAUGUACAGAGAAGCUAGAGGACUUUCCGAAGUAUCCAGAC
rnacentral:lncRNA from 1 species